rnacentral:lncRNA from 1 species
CUAUUUAUUCGGGAAUCACCCCAAGAGUCAUGAAGACCUUUAUCUCAGCCAACCAGUACUCGGCCUCCUCAAAGGAGGAUGCCCCCAUAAAAGUAUAUGAGUUUAGUCUUUUAUACCUCUCAAUAUAGCCUGAGUCCAUCAUGAGAGGAAUUGGGUCCCGUGGAAGAGGGACUGGAUUAUGCUGGGGAUGGAUUGGAUGGCCCUAUGAUGGUAUUGGCUGAUACGGUGGAGGCACCGAAUUGUACUGU